rnacentral:rRNA from 1 species
AUUGAACGCUGGCGGCAGGCCUAACACAUGCAAGUCGAGCGGAUGGCGGGAGCUUGCUCCUGGAUUCAGCGGCGGACGGGUGAGUAAUGCCUAGGAAUCUGCCUGGUAGUGGGGGACAACGUUUCGAAAGGAACGCUAAUACCGCAUACGUCCUACGGGAGAAAGCAGGGGACCUUCGGGCCUUGCGCUAUCAGAUGAGCCUAGGUCGGAUUAGCUAGUUGGUGAGGUAAUGGCUCACCAAGGCGACGAUCCGUAACUGGUCUGAGAGGAUGAUCAGCCACACUGGAACUGAGACACGGUCCAGACUCCUACGGGAGGCAGCAGUGGGGAAUAUUGGACAAUGGGCGAAAGCCUGAUCCAGCCAUGCCGCGUGUGUGAAGAAGGUCUUCGGAUUGUAAAGCACUUUAAGUUGGGAGGAAGGGUUGUAGAUUAAUACUCUGCAAUUUUGACGUUACCGACAGAAUAAGCAUCGGCUAACUCUGUGCCAGCAGCCGCAGUAACAC